UACGUAGGGGGCUAGCGUUAUCCGGAUUUACUGGGCGUAAAGGGUGCGUAGGUGGUUUCUUAAGUCAGAGGUGAAAGGCUACGGCUCAACCGUAGUAAGCCUUUGAAACUGGGAAACUUGAGUGCAGGAGAGGAGAGUGGAAUUCCUAGUGUAGCGGUGAAAUGCGUAGAUAUUAGGAGGAACACCGGUGGCGAAGGCGGCUUUCUGGCCAGUUACUGACGCUCAUGCGCGAGAGCUGGGUUAGCGAACCGGAUUAGAUACCCCCGUAGUCCCUGAGCGGGCUGG
rnacentral:rRNA from 1 species